GACCGGCGCACGGGUGAGUAACACGUGAGAAUCUGCCGUUAGGAGAGGGAUAGCCUGUGGAAACAUAGGGUAAAACCUCAUAUGCCGAGAGGUGAAAAUCCGCGCAAGCGGAGCCUGACGAUGAGCUUGCGUCUGAUUAGCUAGUUGGUAGGGUAACGGCCUACCAAGGCGACGAUCAGUAGCUGGCCUGAGAGGGUGAACGGCCACAAUGGAACUGAGACACGGUCCAUACUCCUACGGGAGGCAGCAGCUAGGAAUCUUCCGCAAUGGGGGCGACCCUGACGGAGCGAUGCCGCGUGGACGAAGAAGGCGGAAACGCUGUAAAGUCCUUUUAUACGGGAAGAAUAAGUAUGUAUGUAAAGUGCGUAUGAUGACGGUACCGUAUGAAUAAGCUUCGGCUAACUACGUGCCAGCAGCCGCGGUAAUACGUAGGAAGCGAGCGUUGUUCGGAAUUAUUGGGCGUAAAGGGCAUGUAGGUGGUUGAACAAGUGUGGAUUGAAAGACCGUAGCUUAAUUACGAGUUUGGUCUGCAAACUGUUCGACUAGAGUUCAGGAGGGGAGAGUGGAAUUCCGCGUGUAGGGGUGAAAUCUGUAGAUAUGCGGAGGAAUACCGGUGGCGAAGGCGACUCUCUGGUCUGAUACUGACACUGAUAUGCGAAAGUGUGGGGAUCAAACAGGAUUAGAUACCCUGGUAGUCCACACAGUAAACGUUGUACACUAUGUGUUAAAUUGGUUAUUCAAUUUAGUGCCGAAGCAAACGCGAUAAGUGUACCGCCUGGGGAGUAUGCUCGCAAGGAGUGAAACUCAAGAAAUUGACGGGG
rnacentral:rRNA from 1 species